rnacentral:lncRNA from 1 species
ACACACCCGUGUCACAGGCCGUGUGGACAUUCGAAAUGGAAUCACAUGGCCGUGUCCCAGUUCGUGUCCGACCCCGUGUAACUCUCUGACUUGGGUCACACGGCCAACCACACGCCCGUGUGCCCUUCGAAAUUGCCUCCCACACCCGUGUGUUAGGCUGUGUGCUAGGCCAUGCCAAACCUGUAGGGUAUACUAACUUAUGCCACACGGCUGAGUCACACACCCGUGUGUUG